rnacentral:rRNA from 1 species
UACGUAGGGUGCAAGCGUUGUCCGGAAUUAUUGGGCGUAAAGAGCGUGUAGGCGGCCUCGUUAGUCCGCUGUGAAAGUCUAGGGCUCAACCCUGGAAUGCCGGUGGAUACUGCGAGGCUAGAGUCCGGAAGGGGCGAGUGGAAUUCCUGGUGUAGCGGUGAAAUGCGCAGAUAUCAGGAGGAACACCAAUGGCGAAGGCAGCUCGCUGGGACGUGACUGACGCUGAGACGCGAAAGCGUGGGGAG